CCGCCCGCCGCGGUGGCCACUCGGUGCUCACGGUGCCGCUGCCGCCCGGUGCCGCGCUAUUUCCUGCCCCGAGCGCCGCGGCGCUGUCGGGAUAUUUCCUGUGCUGGAGAGGAAGAAAGCCGCUCAUUUUCUCGUACGCUGCGUCUCUCAGCCGGGGUCCCCGCGGAGGGGAAAGGCUUGUCAGAGGAGGCUGCGAAAGGUUUUCGCCCGGACCUGCGACGUGUUCGUGUCACCCUCACCGACGGGCCGAGGCUAGCAGUGCCCACUCGGCGGCCGGGCACGAAGCGAUGGACGUCGUCCCGUUACUUUCCGAAACGAGCCGGGGGAGGAAAGCUCCAGCUCCGCCACAGUUCCGCCCUGAAGGCAGAGGCGCCGAGGGUGGUACUUUCCCGUUCCCCACUCCGGGAUUCUGCUCAUCGCAGGGUGCCCCCCCGAGGGGAGUGGGGGCUGGGGGGACCUCCCAGUCCCUUUCCCCGUGAUUAGAGCACUUCUGGAUGGCGCGAGAGGCCAGUUCAAGCGUUUUCGCUUUAGGGGAGGCUUUGAAACCCGAUCUACGCUUGUCCGGGCAGUGCUGUAACCUCUGAGCUGUGCCUUAGAGCCGCGAGCGACCCGCCCCGCAGAAUGCGGACUCACCGGCUCGGAGUUCAGCGGCUCUUCGGGUGGCUACCGGGUCCCUGUCGAUGGGGACAGUGUCCUAGGGCCGGCCGAUCCGCAGCAGCGGGGCCGUUUCCAUCUCGGUGGUGGACAACGUCCUGGGUCACGGCACCGACUCUGCCGGAUUUUUCCCCUCCUCCCGCUUCUCGGUCUCUUGCUUCAGAACUUCCUACAGCCGUGCCUUGAGCUCAGCGGGAGCCAACCGGGGAAAUGUCCAGGAAUAUUUUCAAAUACCUCUGGAAAAGUCUCUUUGUCUCCACUGCCUAAAGAGGAACGGAAGGAGGGAACGUCCCAACUGAAAUAGCUGGAGCAGAACUACUUCACCUACGUGCUGCACACUGGGCUGUGCAUUGUUUCUUUUUGAGGACCUGGUGUUCAUUAUGAUGAUGGAUAAACCUAAUCCGUGAUGUUAAAAGUCCUGGUUAUUUUUCAUCGGUUUAACGUGGCAGUCACCUCUUUUGUCUCAUGCAGUGCCUGGGCAUUCGGCGAGCCAUCAGAGCCUCGGGAGGGGCAACCCUCACAGCUGCUCAGUCCGAGGCAUGUACCUCUGAGACGUCCCAGAGUCAGAGGAGCUGAUCUAAGCCACGUGUCAAUCGAAAUUCCACCACCUUGGCUGCUUUUUCCAAAAUCUCAACGUCUCCCCGUGAAACUGGCAGCUUUUCAUUAUGGGUACAGGUGGUGUAAAAGGCCGUCUGUGUUGAUGGUGCAAUACUGUGAUGCUUGAGGAUCUGCCUUAACAUCGCUAGAAGCUGGAUUUCAUCAGAAAGUGAGAGUGUCACGUGCCUUGUAUUUGAGUAAGCAUGAAACAACUUUCCAGCGGUGCAGGUUAUCUUGGGGCGUUCAGUUGCUUCUUUGCAUACAAAAACAUUCUUAUCAUGAGCAAAGCUCAGAUGUCUGGCAUUUUUUUUCCGAGUUGCUGCUCAAUGGAUAUAGAAACGUUGCAGAUAACUACUCUAACACAGGAGAAAAGACAUUGCAUCCAGUACCCUUGGCAGCAAUGUUUUUUUUUUUUUUUUUCCUUUUUAGUAGCCGUUUUAUCGAUAAAAACAUCUUACUACUAUUUUUUUUUCUAAACAAGUUUAAUUUAGACCUUAGCACAGCGUACACCUGAAAAUAAAGUAUGCUGUUCUUUAUAUUCUCAUCCCUGUGAAUGUGGCAUGAAACUUUUCAUCCAAAGAAGAUCUACUUAUGUGAGGUAAUCUGAGGAAGACUGGUAGCCUUCAGCAAUGCAUUUCCACAAGAACCAGUGAUAAGUAGGAGCAGAAGAGCGAAAAGAUUCCAAUCAAAGCACAACAUUCCUAAAAGAGGAACAUUGAUGAUGAUCACUUCAGGAGCCAUCCUAUUGAUGGAACAAAAUGUUCAGAUUGAGAAGGAGGCGUUGCCAAAAAGCUCAGUUGCCAUGGAAGAAAAACAUCAGCCAUGAGUGGAAGGAAGGGACCUCUUUCCUAAAUUUGUCCCUGUGCUCUGUCCUUGUAAGACUGACAUGAACAACCUGUGAAGACCCUCUUCUCAGUGUUAUGCCUACAGGAACAUGUAGAUUUGCUAUAAGAAAUGAAAAGAAGGGCAUGAGAAUACAGGAUGCUUUUGGAAAUAAUUCAGUUAAAUCCUCAAGGUUUCUGACAGAGGAACACUGAUCGCUGUCAUCAUGGGAGCUGUCUCACCAACCAGUAAAUGCAUUCAAUACAUUGCACAGCGCACCCAUUUGACUUGGAGAACAAGCAUGAAAGAUUAGUUGGCGCCUCAUUUUAAGUAAAUAUAAAGACUUCUAGUCAACUACUACAUUGAAACAUGCUGUGGGUAAGUACUAGGUUAAAACAACUGAACAAACAAAAGCAACUGAAAGUGAAGCAUAAGGAAUGGAAAAUGUCAAAGAUGAAGCAAACUUAAUGUGAUACGCAGAGAAGCACGAGAGGCAAUUCUCGCUGUGAGCCACAUGAUGCCACUCUGAGCUAAGAAACACACAAUACGACUGGGAAAAGGGAGGGGAACACCUUCUGGUGUCCAUGGGAGGAUUAUUAUUAUUAUUAUUAUUUUUUUCUGAACAAGCAGCCACUGAUACUACAGGUAAGUCAUUCGUACCCAAAAGGUAUGUAGUUGAGAUACAGAUGUAGGGUUCUGCACUGCUUAAUUGUAUGCUCUUUAUGCUGGAAGGAAUAAAUGUUUCCUGGGUACUGCCUGUAGGUUUCAAGCCUUCUGAUGAUUGUGUGCAUACCAACGGGGAGAGCUGUUUCUCUCACUGGUGACAAUCCCUUCCCUGGAUGUCAGCACAUUUGGAAAUAGAGGAAAUCUCUCAGGACGCACUAUUUAGUGGAUGUAAUCAUUUUGUACUUGACUUCUCCCCAGUUUGUGCACUUGCCCAGUUGGCUUCAGUCUAGGUCGUGUGCUCUCUUGUAGCAUGGCUCAAUCUAAAAUGUGAAUAGAUGCUGAAGUUAUAUAUCAAUGUCAGAGGAACUAAUUCUUUACAGCCACGUGUUUUUUUUUUUUGUUGUUGUUGUUGUUAUUUUUUGUUUGUUUGUUUUGGUUGUUAUUUUGUUUUGUUUUGUUUUUGAGGACUUGCCACCACUGAAAGAACUAAAAUAACUCAUUUAAAAAUAAAAACUCCACCAAUUAGACUGCUUUUUGCAGAUUUAUCUCAGCUUCUUCAUGUGGACUUGAUGACUUCUGAAUAUAGAUAAAAGUGUGUAAAAGACAAAUUGUUUGUGCAUCUGACUGCUCAGUGUUACAAUGCUUGACAACUUGCUUUACCCUCUGUAGAAGAAGAGAAUCCCACGUGGGCUGGAUUUGAGUAAGCACAAAACAGCUUUUCCAAUGUGUAGGUUAUUUUGGAUUGUUCCUUUGUGUAUACAGUCACCUUUAUCCUAGCAAAGCUCGGAUCACUGGCAUUGUGGGAUCACUUAUUUAAGCCUUUGCUCAGUGGAUGUGGAGGUGAUGCAGACAAGUAUUUGGAAAACAAAAGAAAGGACAGCAUGUCCUACACUCUUGAAAACAAUGCUUGUUUUGUUUUUAGCAGAUGUUUUGCUGAUUAAAACUUCCUGCUACACUUUUUUUGGAGCAAGCUUAAUUUAGAUGUUAGCGCAGCUCUAAGAUACUUGAAAAUAAAACAGUGCUCUUUUUUUUUGUGACUAUGGCAUUCUAUUACCAUCCUCAUGAAUAUGGCAUGGAGAAGUACUAGAUUUAGUCAUUCCAGGUAAGUGAAUGAACUUAGUAGACAAGUAGAAAAAG
ensembl:lncRNA